rnacentral:rRNA from 1 species
UACGAAGGGGGGCUAGCGUUGUUCGGAAUUACUGGGCGUAAAGCGCGCGCAGGCGGUUCUUCAAGUCAGAGGUGAAAGCCCAGAGCUCAACUCUGGAAUGGCCUUUGAGACUAGAGAACUAGGGUACGGGAGAGGUGAGUGGAAUUCCGAGUGUAGAGGUGAAAUUCGUAGAUAUUCGCAAGAACACCAGUGGCGAAGGCGGCUCACUGGCCCGAUACUGACGCUGAGGUGCGAAAGCGUGGGGAGCAAACAGG